ensembl:rRNA 5_8S_rRNA 5.8S ribosomal RNA
AACUCUUAGUGGUGGAUCACUUGGCUUGUGCAACGAUGAAGAACGCAGCUAGCUGYGAGAAUUAAUGUGAAUUGCAGGACACAUUGAUCAUUGACCCUUCGAACGCACUUGCAGCCCCGGGUUCCUCCUGGGGCUACACCUGUCUGAUCAUUG